CCUGUGUGUGUCAUCAACUCAUCAUGCGUCACGCUGCCAGUAUUUAUAAAAUUACGAUUCUUAUAUUAAACAAGCUUAUUAAUGAAUUUUUCCCCUUUUUGGAUAUUAUUGGAACUGUAAAUGAAUCUAAAAGUUUGUUUCUUAUGGGGAACAUCGCGUGAUAACGGUCAUGAUCCUUGUUUGUUGACAGAAACCCUCCAUGUGAGGGCAUGUGUGUAGAUGCAAAGUAUGCUGGCGAGGUUCAAGUGACCUACAUUUAGAGGGUAAUGCAUCCAACAGCUGUUGCUGACCGAUAAAAUGUAAAAGAUUGAAAGCGAAAAGGAUGAUGAAGCUUUCGAGGAGAGCAGUGUAGCCAAGGGAAGAGACCGAGGGGACGUAACAUUCAUAAUCGUCCCCAAACGGCCAGCAGGCUUUCGGGGCGGUGUUUUUCCUCAUGGAGAGGAAAACCGAGGAAAGGAACAGAAAGGUGAAGAAUAUCAUCUUUGACUUUGAAAUGGAGCCAAGCAUGUAUUUGCAGGCGUCUGGUACAUAGGAUGUUGACUCCAGUCCUGGCAGGAUAGGGUCGUUGGCCCCACGCCCAACCCCCAACCUGGUGGACCAGGUAAUUUUUUCGGGUGUUCUUCCCUAGCCUUUGGCAGCCCAAUGCCGAACUACAAGGCAGCAGCUGCUGGUUUUGUUCCGCGCCGGGUAUUUGAUUUCCCCGGUACCCCCUAUAUCUAGGAGGCAUUCCCCAAUCCGCCACCUGGGAAGGCGCCCGAUGGGUGAUCAGCAACUCCACACGGGAGACCUGUAGCCACAACCUACAACAUUAUAAAGGGCAAAAAAACUCCUGGACCCAUAAAAAGUAUUACUCGCCGUAGAGAUGGCAGUGAAAGCGCAGCUACAGCAGUAAUAAUUGGCAGUUGAUUACAUCAACAGUAAUUGCCAUUGAAGCAUCAUCAUCUGUGGUGUAGUUGUGUGCGUCAUCAUCAUCAUCAUCAGCGUCAUCAGUGAGUGUAGUUGUAACUGAAGCGCCACUACAGUAUUUUCAUCAUCAAUCAUCGAUUAUUGGAACUAAAACCAGCACAAAGAAGUGAAAUGGGUUUAAUCGCGAAAGCCUUAUUUUAUAUAGGAUUAAUUAGCGAUGAAGAAAUGCGUCAAAUCUCACGCCUUACACGAUGUCGUCUGCGCCUCACACUUGGUUAUCGAAUAUUCAACAUCUAUCUUCAAGCUUCAAUAUGCAUCUCCUUCAAGUUUGUUGAUAACUAGUCUAUAACUAUUUCUUUAUGUAUUUUUUAUAACUAUUUUAGAUUUAGAAAAGAAUUUUUCCUAGUAAUAUUAUGAUGAAUCAUCAGCUCUUAUCAAUCUCU